GUCUAUAGCCAUACCACCCUGAAUAUGCUGUUCUCAUCUGAUCUGAGAAGCUAAGCAGGGUUGGGGCUGUUUGGCAGUUGGAUCAGAGUCUCCCUCGGAAUACCAGAUGUUACAGGCU
rnacentral:rRNA from 1 species